rnacentral:misc_RNA from 1 species
AAGUCGUAACAAGGUUUCCGUAGGUGAACCUGCGGAAGGAUCAUUACCAAAUAAAGUGACCCUGUUUUUCGAACGGGUGUCUUAUCUUUAACUUCACUUGUGCACAACCCUUUUUUAUUUACACUAUUAUCACUGUUACGGGAUGUUAUAUGAUUACAAAAACAAAAAGAGAAACUUUCAACAACGGAUCUCUUGGCUCUC